rnacentral:rRNA from 1 species
GACGAACGCUGGCGGCGUGCUUAACACAUGCAAGUCGAACGGUGACGAGGAGCUUGCUCCUCUGAUCAGUGGCGAACGGGUGAGUAACACGUGAGCAACCUGCCCCAGACUCUGGGAUAACAGUUGGAAACAGCUGCUAAUACCGGAUACGAGACGGAGAGGCAUCUCUACCGUCUGGAAAGUUUUUCGGUCUGGGAUGGACUCGCGGCCUAUCAGCUAGUUGGUGAGGUAAUGGCUCACCAAGGCGACGACGGGUAGCCGGCCUGAGAGGGCGACCGGCCACACUGGGACUGAGACACGGCCCAGACUCCUACGGGAGGCAGCAGUGGGGAAUAUUGCACAAUGGGCGAAAAGCCUGAUGCAGCGACGCCGCGUGAGGGAUGACGGCCUUCGGGUUGUAAACCUCUUUCAGCAGGGAAGAAGCGAAAGUGACGGUACCUGCAGAAGAAGCACCGGCUAACUACGUG